CUCGGUAGCUUAGUUGGUAGAGCGCUCGUCUAGCAAACAAAAGUCCUGGGUUCGAAUUCCAGCCGGG
rnacentral:tRNA from 1 species